AUUUAACGUGUUAAUGCUCUGAUGCUGAGCAUUUAUAAGAAUGCUUUCUCUUUCAUUGAUGAAUUUUCUUCGUAAUUUUAGAUUUAGAAAUCUUUUGUUUUAUAAGUAAGGAGAUGUAAACAAUAAUUUCUGCUUCGUGUUGGGAAACUAUACUUGUCCAUCCGGAAUCACACAUACACCAGAAAGUCAUUGACAUAGGCAGGAUUUAAAAAUUGGAGUGGUUUUAGGGGCUCUGUAACUUUACUUUCAUUCUUCGCAAGAAAUGAUGGGAGUAUCUUGUGCUUUUCUUACAGUAUUUCACAUACACACACCAUACAUGGUUUCUUUUGUUUUCCUUUCUUCUCUUGAAGGAGGAAAUGACACUGAGAUACAACUGAGCAUGGCUGUUAGAACCAUCUUUAAUUUCAGUUGGUUACCUUGAGUAAGUCCCUUUCUCAUAACAGAGAUCUGAAUGUCUGCUCCCAAUCAUGUGCUCAAACACCUGCAUUCAGUUUCUUCACCCCUCCAGUGGUGGCCCAUCCACCUGCAGGCAAAGUGCCGUGACUCCCUGGGCUACUUCCAUCUCCUGUAGCUAGAGACUAAUCUUCCAUCUUUGAUAAUAUGUCCCUUUGCCAUACCCCUGAAGCCCUCAGUCAAAUCGAAUCAAAAGUAAAAAUCUUUUGAACUAUUAUUUUGUCCUAAAAGUGGCCUGUGAUAGUUAAGACCAUUUCAAAUUCAAGCCAGUUCAAGACCUAGAGAUAGAGAAAUGCUUUGCAAAGCUGAGUGUUAGAAUAUCUGUUUUCCCAAUAAGUGUUAAUAUGAUUCUACAAACAAAAGAACCUUUACCUGAAGCUUUUAACCUGUAGUCUGGGUUCACAGGUCCACAGCGUGAAACAAUGAUCUGACUUGUAGAGAGGUGUACACAUAAUUAAGAUAAGUGUUAACACUCUUCAGUGAUAAGAAUGGUCAUGGUGCUUGGCAGAGCAGCAGGGUGUGCAUCAGAAUGCAAGCAUUUUCCUGACAAUUAGUGCAGAAUUAUGUAAUUACAUCUAGAUUUUAGUGUGAAAAAGAGUUGUCAAGUACUGUGUUCUGAAUUAUUGUUAGACAAACAGGCUUCAGUUCUAAGUCUGCAGCAAACUUAUCACCUGGAUGUGUGGAUGGAAAAGAAAUGAGAAUUUAGCUAGAUGAAGUCAUGGGAGAUAGACCUGAAUAUUAAGACUUCUUUCCCCAGACAGGGGAAGGCUGACAGUCUAAUGCAGUUUGUUAAUAACAACACCAAUAUGCACCAACAAUAACAGGACCUUUGCCACCCAGUUGCCCCAGACCUCUCCUGAAACCACUUCAGACCUCCCCAGCAACUAAAGGAUUAAGGUGGACCUUUAGGAUUCUGAGUCUUCUCUAAGGUUGGCAGCUGUUAUCAUUGGUCAAUGCCAUCACUGGCCAAACUAUCAGAUCAGCCCUUAGGCAACAAGAUGGGCUCCCCACCUAGUAAUCCUCAAGGAUAUUCCCUUGUCCCUGUCCAUCCUACGUCCCAUGUUACAGGGACCUCAGAGUAGUCAUGAUUUAGAGCCACCACACUGGCCCCAGCCAGUCUGCUAGACUGCCACGUGGCUCACUGCACUCAUUGCAGCUCUUGGACUGGCUCAUGCACUCCUGUUUCCCUCUGCCCAGAGCAGGCCCAAAUGCCAGAAGGAAAGGUCAGUGUUAGAAGCAGUAGUAGCAUCUUGAAGGACAAAUGCUCAGUGUCCAUCUGUCUCCAUGCGUUUGUAGUCACCCACCACUGGUCCUCCCUCAGCCAUUGUCAAAUAGUGCUUGGGUAGUCUGUAGCCUCUGUAGGACUUUGAGAAAGCAGACAGAAAUGGAGAGAGCCAUCUCUGGUAGAGCCUAUCUACCCCAUAGAUGGGGUAAUUGGGGCAGCCUUAGGCAAAGCCCAAGGAUUACUGUCUUCUAGCAGAGUGGGGAGUUUUAGAAAGGAGGAAGAAGCAGAACAUGGAAGAAGUCUGUGAGAGUAAUAUGGGGUCAGGAGAUGCCAAGAAUGCAAAUCCUUGUUUUCAACCUUCUCAGUUAAAUAUCACCUCUAUUUAAUUCACUCCCUGACAGCUAGUCACAGGCAUUAAUAGCAUCAAUAUUAACAAUAAAUCAAGGGCCAGACACCAUUACAGCACAAGUGAGUCUUCCUCCUUCAACAGGCACGGAAACUAAGGCACUGCAAGCUUAUUUAAAACUUAAAUGGCAGAGGCAGGAUUCUAACUUGGACAGCCUGGCGACAUGCCCAUGUUCUUAAACACCACUUUAUGCCGCCUCUCACCUGACCUGAAGGAUUAGUCUAAUACUUUUAAAUAUGCGAUUCAGAUUUAUUAUUGUCAUGUUUUAGUUUAUAACAGAAAAUUGAAUCUAUAAGGAUCUCAGACAUGGGCUAGGGAAUAUUUAAAUGUAUUUGCUAUUAAUUUAAUGGUAGCUGAGGUAAAAGUCAACACUAUGAACAUUGUUGAUCUGAAGAGAAAUUCACUACUUAUUAAGAUACCUGAUGACCA
ensembl:lncRNA